CUUGCAGAAGAGUAUUUUUGCGAUCUAAAUAAGGCACACAAUUUUUCAAAAGAAGUAUAAAAAAGAAAACAUAUAAGGCGCACAAAUCUGGUGAAAAAAACAAGAAGAUUAAAAAUGCCAACUAACAGGAUUUUAUGUUUUACUUGAGGUGUGUGUAUAUAUGCAUGUAUUGUGUAUAUAUAUAUAUGUUUAUGUGUAUAUACACAUACGAACAUAUGUGAUAUAUGUACCUAUACAGAGGUAUAUAAAUGCAGUCUCUAUAGCACAUAUAUCUACUGUAACCCUGAAAAAAGAUAGAAAGAGACUCAAAAGGUCAUCGGUCCUCUGUCAUAGAGGAAUUACUUAUGGUAAAAGAUAACUGGCUUCCCCAAUCUAAUUUACAGUUGAUACUGGAGAUAGGGCUUGGGGUUUGUUGUUAAGGUAUGGUCAUGUUAGUUUGCUAAUUAUACGAAUUUACUUUCCACUUUCCUGAAUAUACUGAGAAGGUAUGCCAUCUUACAUGGCAAGGACCAAGUCUUAUUGGUGGAUCUCAGUGGCUAAGUUGGGUAUGGCCUAUCUACUAGAAGAGAGUUGUGAAUUGGAGAUCACUAUGGUUAGCAGUUGUGAUGAAUUACUAUCUGUUCUGGAUCAAAACAGGAGAGUGGUCCAACCAAGUAGCCAUUGGGUCUAGUGACUGCAUCACUGUAGCAGCAAUAUGAUGAAUGUCUUAAAAGGGUAGAAUACUUUACAUUUUACAAACUCCGCUCAAUAUUUGAAGGCUCACAAUAGCAAUAUUAAAAGAACUUAAUAUGGAUUAGUGACACUAGAAGGAUGGUGGUAGCAGAUGGCAGUAUGAUGGGCUAAGGGGACAUGGUUGACCAGGCAUCCCAGUUAAGGACUGACUCAAAAGCAUGAAUGACUUUGAUCAGUUUGAUUAUAAGUAAGACCCAGGGUUUCUAGACAACUGUGUCUUUUAUUGUCCAGAUGAAAAUUAUAGAUUCCAAUUAUAGAUUCCACUGGGUACUUUGAUGAUGACGUUUAUAACCAGUGGUACAAAAGUAUUCUAGUUCAUUCAUUUAUCCAUCAACUCAUUCAUUCACUUAUACAUUAACUAAUUUAUCUACCUUUGUACCUCAUAUGGUGCUAAGACACUUGAUGGCCUAAAAAUAUUGUUCCUGUAUUUUAGGAGUUUAUCAUUUAGUCUACGGCCAUACCACCCUGAAUGUGCCCGAUCUCGUCUGAUCUCAGAAGCAAAGCAGGGUCAGGCCUGGUUAGUACUUGGAUGGGAGGAGUUUAUCAUUUAAUAAGAGAUUAGAAGUAUAAUCUAAUAAUUUCAAUGGAAUGAGAUAAAUGCUAAAAUAAUAUACAUGUAUAUUAUAUGAUACAACACAUAUAAUACAUGUAUACAUGUAUAUUAUCUGUAUAUAUUAUAUAUACAUGCACACAUACACAAGGUCAUUGGUGUACUAACUGUGGGUAUUCUAACUAUACCUGAACAUAAAGACCUGGAGAUAAAACUGGAGAUGUGUUAGCAUGAGGGAGUUCUAUAGGCCUUUGUAAGGAUUUUGGCUCUUAACCUGAAUCAAAUAGGCAGCCGCAAGAUUUCAAGUAAAGUUAAAAUAACCACUUGAUGGGAAAUUUCUCCAAGAGUUUAAAAUCACAAAUUAUGGGCUGUAAACCACUGGCCUAAACUAAUGAUAUCCUACCAGGAUAAACCAAGACAUUUUCUCCAUGUAUAUUCUCUUUCUCUCAGGUACCACCGACAUUUUUAGGUUCUGGGUUCUGAGGUGAUGUUUUUGCCUGUUAUAAUGCUCUACAGGAUGGGAAUUGACAUGUUUAUAAUUUUGUGAGUGUGGGAACAGCACUGUAGAAAUCUCAUUUCCGGCUGCUGCUGGAAAGAAGGCAUGAACCUGUAGUUUGUAGCCAUUUGGCCAGAUUUAGGCUAUAUCCUUCAAUACAGAUUACUAGGAAUAAAGGUGAUACUUUGAUCUCUGAUUGACUGACUCCAGUAUCUAUCGUUCAGUUGGUUCUAAACUAGAAGAGAGGGUUAUUGUAUUUAACACUCAUAUAUCCAGUAAAUGCUCCAUUUGUUUAUGUGUCAAGGCCCUGGUGCUGAGGCCAAAGACUAACAAACAGAGGGAGAGAGGAGAGAGGAUGAGGCGCUGGGAGAAAUAGUAGUAUUUUUAAAAAACAAAAUUUUAAUAAAUAAUUAUAUUCAAGAUUACUUUAAGAAAAUAUGAAUGCACUCCUUCUGCUUCUCAGUCUCCCCUCUCUCAGACUCCAGAAAAUUAGGGUAACAGUCAGUUAAACAUUUCAAAGUGCUCUCUUAUGAGUGUAAAAUGAAAUACAGUCAACUAAAAUGACAUUGUUAAACAAAAUAAGUAUAUGAGGCGAAUUGGUGUUGGGUAAAUUGGUUUUCAGUAAAAUGGCCAUUCAGGUGGACUGAUUAUUUGGCAAACUGCCUUAUGAAAGAUUAGUCUUUGGCAGUUUAGAUUAGAGCCAAAUGAUUAAUGGAUCCUCUGAACAAGAACCACAAAAAAUGUCAUCCAGCCUCAGCUUGAACAACCAGGAAUGAGAAAUAUGUUGCAAUGCAAGACAAUUCCGAACAACUGAAAAAUUUGUUUUUACAUACUUGCAUUAUACAUGUCUCCUUAUUUUGCACUCAUAUUUCUCCACUGGUCAUAUCCAACCCUCAAGAACAACAUAUAAUUUUCAAAAUCUGUUCUUUAUAUGCAAGCUUAUAAAUAAAAAUUAGGAGCUAUUGUUUUUUACUUGAUGUUUCUUUAACCUAAACCGCCUGAGUUGGUGAGUCAUCCCAUUCUGUGGAUUGAUUUUUCCAUCCCUUCACCAUCUUGGUUGCUGUGUCAACCUGCCUCUCGAGGAAAAUCACAUACAAAAGAAAAUUACACUGCUCUGAGUACUGCUAAGAACAUGAGCAUAGCCUUCUUUAUUUUGAAACCUAUUCUUAGGAUUUUGAACAAGCAAACCUUAUGGAAUAUAAUCGAAAUGCAAGCUUGUUUAUUUAUUAAAAAAAUCUUCCAAUCUGUUUUAAAAAUGUUUCAUUUGUAGAAAUUCAUCUCUCCUCUGUAUGAAAAAUCUGCCAGGUUCCUGAAUUUUCUACUCACUCUUAGGUAAUAUAGAAUACCCUGUUCACAUUAAUUCCCCAAAUAUCAUCUUUGAUAAAAUAUCAACCCUUAGAUCCUAAUUCAAAGAUAAAACUCUGUUCUCUUCCUUCCCCAAGCUAGGGCUUGACUGUAGGCAAGCAGCCUAUCUUCUGGGGAAUGUCCUGGUGGACUUACUGUUUCUAGCUCACCUCCUUCUCCAUCAUCCCCACUAGCUGCUCUGACCCCUUUAGAUUCUAGUGACGGGACAGGUAGGUGUCAGGAGAUAAAGAGGUAAAAAGUAGGCUGUUUCACACUUGACUGGUAUUCCAUUUAGACACCUGUAGAGGUCUAUUAUUCUCUGAGUGAAUUCCUCUUGAGCAGAAUUUCAUUUAAAAUGACCUCAACCAGUCUCUCUCUCUCUCUCAAUGGGGUGCCUGUACAUGCCUGGCUCAUAUCUGAUUGCAACGAAACACUCACUCACUUUUCAUCUUGACAGAAUUCAGUACAGGUGAAUCCUAAUGAAACAGCAUUUCUCUCCUGGCUCUGCCCUCAGGCAUCUCACCUAUGGACCCUCCAGCUCCUCUGGCAUUAGCACAAUGUGCCUCCCAAUCCAGGGGACACAAGUGAAGCUCUCUGCACGUCCAACGGAAGCCCCGAUCUUUAGGCUUGAAGCUAAGGGGGAAGUACCCACUUCCUGCUGUAAAGGUGGAGAAGGGAGACUCAGCACUGAAGAAGCUCUCUCCAAAACAUUUCUUUACAAAUAUAGUCUUAGUUGCUACUCCUAUACCUCUUCAUAUCGUUCUUAUGGGGUUCAGAGCCUUUAAACAGUUCAAAGUCACUUAAUUAAAAGCUUUUGCUCAGUCAUCCAAUAGCUCACUUUGGAAUUUAACAUCUUUAACAGUUAAAACUCUCAGUUUUACCUAUUAUCUAUACUUCUUUUAAAAGCAGCCCAAGAUCAAAUUAAAUUUUGUUAGCACCCUUAUGGCCCUCCAUAUGUCCUUGACUGAAUUGCUUCACCUUUUAUUCUUGUUGUAACUAAGAGUGUUCAGAAGAAACAAUUAAAAAAUGGGAAAUAAUGCAGAUUAAGAACGUGCUAUACAUUUAUUAACUCAUAUUAAAACCUCCUUUUAAAGAGCUUGAAGGCUUACAUAUUAUAUGCAGUCUUAAAAAUCAUGGCUUUUGGUAUAGUUUUCCGGCUCUGAGGAGGUGAAAAAAAAGAAAGGGAGGGACCUAAAAACAAGGAAGGGGGUGACUGCUGUGCCUUUGCACCAAAAGAAUAGACAACCUGGGAAAGCAUCAACUCCAAUUCUGAAGGCACAAUGUCAAGGGCUUUGUUUAUAUCCCUGGGAUACCAAUUAUUUUCCAAAUAAAGCUUUACUGGUGUUUGCACACAUAAGCGUGUGUGCGCACGCAUGCACACACACCCACACACACAAUUUCCCACCUUUGUCCUGUGUAUUUACAGUCCAGGCUAUGCACAGGGCAGAACAGGGUGGUUUAAUUCUUAGGAAGUUCAUUCCAAUGGGAAAUGAAUUCUUGAAUUUAAUCCCAUAUAUAUUAUCUUUCUAAUCACAAGAAGGUAUAUUCCCAUGUCCAUAUACAAUAAAAAAUCUUGAAAUGAAAUAAAACUCAUACUCAGAAGAGAACAAAUCCCCAGGAGCCAUUUUCCACCAAUCUGUUUUUAUCUUCUGGAAUUCAUUCUCUCUCCUUUACUAAGAGAUUCCUGUGAAAGUAUGACUCAGUUCCUCCCGCAGGUCUUGACUACUAUCUCCGAGACAAAUUUCAAAACCAAUCUGACACAUUUUAAGACCACUUAUUCAGACAACAUUUUCUGACAUACUUUUCAGUAUUCUUGAAAGUCAACUGCUUUUUCAUUUUCAUCUCACUCCCCACUCCUCAAAUCCUUUUCCUUUAUUUUUAGUCCUUCAUUAUAAAAGCAAUACAUAUUCAUUAAAAAAACAAAAUGUAGACAAGCAAAAUAACAUAAUGUGCACUCAUGAUUUAGUCAGAGAUAUUCAUUAUGAAUAUUUCUGUGAAUAUUUUUAAUAUCCUUUUUAAAUGCAAGUGUUCUUAAUUUGUAUGUAGGAACCACAUUUAAAUGCUAUUAUAACCAACUACAUUAAACCAAUCUGACAGUUCUUGACGACUUGCAUUGGUGCAGAUUUCUUUACCAUAAGUAUGGCAGAGAAGAAAUGAUUGGCUUUAAAUGAAUUACAUAUAAAUAGCAAAUACAUAUGAAAAAACUUUGAAUACUCAUUUCUAACAAAUCUGAAUUUUCACCAAAUUAUUGUGUUCUCUCUCUAGCUCCUAAGUUCAGCGAGGUUUGUAUCCUUAUAUGCUUAUGUUUAUCCUUUUAUACCUAUGCACACACAUUUUUGUGUGCAUAGGUAUAAAAGGAUAAACGUGGUCAUAGAUUUGACAUUUGGCUUAAUCUUGAGAUAAAUUAUCUUAAAGCUUUUAUCACAAUUUUCUCUUCCAUUAUAUUUCCAAAAAUAUAACUGUAUCUUUGGUGAUGAUUAUUAUAUAUAUUUUACAUUGAUUAUUAUAUAUAUAUUUAUUUAAAAAAAAUAAACCUAUACAUACAUAUAAUAUUUUGGAAAUUGCUUCCUUCACUUAGCAAUAUCUCUUAGACCUAACCAAUCUUUGGAAUAGUGGAUUGCAGGCUUUGAUUUUAUUCUACAAACAAUGAAGAACUUACUUACUUGCCAAGCUGGUGUAUCACAUGAACAAACAGGUUCCUGGAUUGUUUAUGGUAAGUAGCGUCAUCAGAAAUAACACCUUAUCUGUAGAUAGAGGCAUUGUGAAAUAACUCACUGUGGCUUAAAUUCAUUCAGUGGCAAGUUGUACAACAUCAUCUCCUUCUAAGUCAGAUAUUCAAGACCUAAAAAUGGCAAAUGUUAUAAAUAAUUUUUCUGUAAGUUUUAGAAAGUAUAUUAUCAAGAAAUAGUUUCUAAAAAAGAUAUAUAUUUUUGCUUUAUAUUUUUUGGAAUGAUGUAAGUUAAAAUUUUUUUAAAGUCUCUUAAAAUUAAAAAAAUUAAUGUAUAUUAUUAAAUUAAAAUAAAAUAAAUUAUUAUUACUAUUAAUUUUUACAGAUACAAUCUCUGUCAGUUGCCCAGGUUGGAGUACAGUGAUGUAAUCAUAGCUCAUUGCAGCUUUGAACUCCUGGGCUCAAGCAAUCCUCCUAUCCCAGUCUUCUGUGUGGGUAGGACUACAGUUGCUUGCCACCAUGCCCAGCUAAUUUUUAAUAUUUUUUGUAGAGAUGAGGUCUUGCCAUUUUGCCCAGGCUGGUCUUGAAACCCUGGCCUUGAGUGCUCCUCCUGCCUGUCCUCUCAAAGUGCUGAGAUUACAGGUAUGAGCCAGUGCCAAGUUCCAAAUUACAUUAAAUUAAUCAGUAUUUAAAGAUUUCUAAACUCUAAAAUUUUUUGCAUUUUUAAAAAAAUAUUUUACUCUGGGAUACAUGCGCAGGACAUACAGGUUUGUUACAUAGGUAUACAUGUGCCAUGGUGUUUUGCUUCACCUAUCAACCUGUCAUCUAGGUUUUAAGCCCUGCAUGCAUUAGGUAUUUGUCCUAAUGCUCUCCCUCCCCUUGCUUCCCACCCCCAUAACAGGCCCCCGUGUGUGAUGAUCCCCUCCCAGUGUCCAUAUGUUCUCAUUGUUCAACUUUCACUUAUGAGUGAGAACAUGUGGUGUUUGCUAAACUCCAAAGUUUUUGAGCUUGGAUCUUGUGUGUGUGAUUUGCAAUUUUUUUGUGUGCAAAAAGGCAACGUUUCUGUGGUAAUACAUCAUGGAUGCUGUGUGUGUGUGAGUGUGUGUGUGCGUAUGUGUGUGUUUUAACAGAUAAAAAGUGAAACCUAAAGAAUUAUUUAAUAUACUUAGACUUUUGGCUUCCUCAAAAAAAAUCAGAUAAUAAAACUAUUGUAAUUUAUUGAAGCAAGAUAGCAAAAUGUUUUAUAAGUUAGCAGGUAGCAUAGAAAAAGAAUACCAAGAAAAAAGGGCAACAUGGGCCUUUUUUAAAAUAGUCACAACCGGCAUGUUACCUAAAUCAGUGGUCCCUAAACUGGGGUGAUUUUGACCCCCAAAAACAUUUAACAAUGUCUGGAAAUUUUUUUUGUUGUCACAACUGGAGAGAGUUGCUACUAGCGUCUAGUGAGUUGAGACCAGGGAUGUUGCAAAUUGUCUUAUAAUACACAGACCAGUGCCUUACAACAAAGAAUUCCCCAGCCUAAAAUGUCAACAGACAUGCCAACCAAUUUGAGAGGAAAUGCCUUUGUUUGUAUGUUAGUUUUGAAGACAUCUGUCACUGCUCAAAAUAAGCCAGCAGUCUCUCUUAAAUAUAUGACCAAAAUUCUUUCCAUCCCUGAACUUCUUUGGAAGACACCAAGUAGGUGGUUUGCACACCAAGUCUUUGUUGGAGAGAAUGUUUGAAACCUAAUCUGCUGACUCUUGAACCCAGGAACCAUAUAUAUAGACUUACUAUUUUUACAUUUAAGAUUCUUACGGGAGUAAUCUGUUAAUAUCUAUUUAUUAAAUAAAUCAUGGAUAAAUCUGAUACCUUCUGAAGCUCAGUAGUCACUCAUGGGACUUAGCAGCCAAAAAUGAAGAGAGUAUGUGCCUGAAGAGCUGAUUCUGAUCCUCCUCCUUCCUCUGAGGUGAUGAAGGUGGGGUUUUACUGUGUUGCCGAGGCUGGUCUCGAACUCCUGAGUACAAGCAAUCUUCUGGCCUCAGCCUCUCAAAGUGCUGAGAUUACAGCGAACUUCUUGAGCACUGGUAAGGAACAUUUGGAGAAGAUUCUUCUAAGAAGGCCUGAUCCACUUGAUGCCCUGACAAAAGAAGUUAAUCUAUUAUGGUAAAGAAGACGAGGAGAGAAGAACUGACAUCAAACAUUUAGAAGAUAAUUAAGAGGACCUCAAGCUGCCUUAGCAGAGCGCAUCUCCUGAAGUGCAGAUAAAAUCAAUAUCAAGGCUCAGACAGACAUGGAGAUAAAAGUCCCAUGAAAGAAGACCUAGAGUUUUCAUUGAGUAGGACUCAGCACAAGAGCUGGCCCAGCUGCCUCAUCAUGGUUUGAACCUUUGUUUUCUUAUCUGUAAGAUAACACCUACGGUGCCAGGUUGAGUUUUUGGCAAGCAGAAAGUUAAUUUGCAGAAUUAUUAGAGAAAGCUCUUGGUGUCAACACCUAUGAAAACAAAGGAGGGAAAAUCACAAUGGCAUAGGGAAAAAUCAAGGCCAAGUUUGUCCUGCAUUGAUCUGAAAUGCUGGACCUUUAUACCCCUGCCUCCAUUAAUCAUUGGAUGAGGAUCACCUAGGAAGGAUGUGGGAGAUGUGAUCCUUGAAGGGGCUGUCUGUCGAAGGAUGCUUGCUGAUAGCUCUCCCACUAGUAGAAACAAAAAGUCAUUCCUUGAGGGGAUCUUGGUAACAUUUUCUGUGUGUUUCUUACCUGUUAAACCUGGUUUUGUGAGAGAAAUUAACUGUAAAACUUACUGUAAAUGUUAAUUUUAUAAUUCAUACCAUGAUCAAAUAUUUAUUAAGGGUCUAUUCUGUAAUAGCUCCUUGAUAUAAAUAAAAAUAUUAAACCCGACUUUUUUCUUUUUUCUUUGCUGUUGGCUGAGUCUUGCUCUGUCAUCCAGGUUAGAGUGCAGUGGUAUGAUCUUGGCCCACUGUAGCCUCCACCUCCUGGAUUCAAGUGAUUCUCCUGCCUCAGUCUCCUGAGUACCUGGGACUACAGUGAACCUUCUCCAUCUUCUCUUUUGCCAUCUAUUGGCUGGAAGUGAAAGAUUCCCAGGCCCGAGAAGAUGGUGUGGCUAUGGAAUGGGAGGAGCCUGGGAACAUGAAUCACUCCCUAGAAGACUAUCCUAAUAAUACCUACAAUGAAUUAUUGUAUGAACAGGACAUAUUUUUAUGGCAUUAAACCACUGAAACUUUCUGAAUUGUUUAUUAGAGUAGCCAUUAUUAUAUCAAGAGAGUGUAUCUUCAAAUUUUAAGUAAAUUUUAACAAAUAAAUAAAAGGACCUUUACCUCUUUAAACCAUGCCUUAUUGAAAAUCCUCAAAAUCAAGUGUUCUUGAUAAAAGUUAUGCUAAUAUGCACAGUUUUGGUAUAAUUUACACUUUACUUAUUUGGUAGGUGCUUAUCUUAGUUAUGAUUUUCUCAUGUGAAGAAUCUGUAUGCUUCAACUGUGGGAAUAUUAGAAUGAAAUGUUCAGAUGUCUCUUCACUGUGAACCUUUCUUCCUUUUUUAGAAUUGUGAAAUAUGCAGGCUAAUGGCCCUGAAAAAGGCACCUUUGAAAUAGACUAAAGAUGAUGAUUGGAUUAUCAAGAUUUGAAUAAUAUUUUCUAAUGUGCUUUUAAACUCCUUAGUGGAAAAACCUGAAUGGGGAACAAAAUUGUUCCUGGCCUGGCUAGUAGUGCAGGGGCCCCUUUGAAAUGUCAUUAAUCCUUUCAAACAUGAGGAUCUGUUUAUCCAGUAAUCUAUUUUUAGGGCCAAUACAUUUUAUUUCUCACAUCAUAAAAUAAUAGAUGCUUAGUAAAAUCACAAGAAAAAGUUUUAAAGUAUAAUAAAAACAAAAACAUACUUUUGUCUGAUAAAUCAGAGAUGCCAUUUACAUUUAUAUUUUGCUGGGUCUUUUUCUCUGUAUUAAAGUAUGUUUACUUUUCUGGCUGGUUUUAAUUCUGUUUAUUUUAUAUUUUAAUAAUCUCAUGUAUAUAUUAUAAUAAUGCAAACAAUAAAGAAGUACAUGUAAUACAAAGAAAAAGUCUCUCUUUACUUUGCCCAGCACCACUAACCUGUACAGAGUAAAGCCUUUUUCUUAUUUAAAGUGUGACCUUACAGAUAUGUCCUUUUGCAUUGAGGCAUUUAUAUAUAUUUUUCUGUGUAGAUAAUUUCAAAUGUAAUGUAUAUAUGAUAUAUAGAUAGGAUAUAUAAACAGAUGUGUAUGUGUAGGUGUAUAUGUCCAUAUAUAUGAUAUACACAGAUAUAUGUUAUGUUUUUAUACUUAACAUUAUAUUUAGAGGGCUUUCCUGUGUAAUGAAACACAUU